GAUGAACGCUGGCGGCGUGCCUAAUACAUGCAAGUCGAGCGAACAGAUGAGGAGCUUGCUCCUCUGACGUUAGCGGCGGACGGGUGAGUAACACGUGGAUAACCUACCUAUAAGACUGGGAUAACUUCGGGAAACCGGAGCUAAUACCGGAUAAUAUAUUGAACCGCAUGGUUCAAUAGUGAAAGACGGUUUUGCUGUCACUUAUAGAUGGAUCCGCGCCGCAUUAGCUAGUUGGUAAGGUAACGGCUUACCAAGGCAACGAUGCGUAGCCGACCUGAGAGGGUGAUCGGCCACACUGGAACUGAGACACGGUCCAGACUCCUACGGGAGGCAGCAGUAGGGAAUCUUCCGCAAUGGGCGAAAGCUUGACGGAGCAACGCCGCGUGAGUGAUGAAGGUCUUCGGAUCGUAAAACUCUGUUAUUAGGGAAGAACAAGUGUGUAAGUAACUAUGCACGUCUUGACGGUACCUAAUCAGAAAGCCACGGCUAACUACGUG
rnacentral:rRNA from 1 species